rnacentral:SRP_RNA from 5 species
UGUUGGUUCUCCCGCAACGUUACUCUGUUUACCUGGUCAGGUCCGGAAGGAAGCAGCCAAGGCAGAUGACGCGUGUGCCGGGAUGUAGCUGGCAGGG